AUUGAACGCUGGCGGCAUGCUUUACACAUGCAAGUCGAACGGUAACAGGUUAAGCUGACGAGUGGCGAACGGGUGAGUAAUGCAUCGGAACGUGCCCGGUCGUGGGGGAUAACGCAGCGAAAGCUGCGCUAAUACCGCAUACGAUCUGAGGAUGAAAGCGGGGGACCGUAAGGCCUCGCGCGAUCGGAGCGGCCGAUGUCAGAUUAGGUAGUUGGUGGGGUAAAGGCUCACCAAGCCGACGAUCUGUAGCUGGUCUGAGAGGACGACCAGCCACACUGGGACUGAGACACGGCCCAGACUCCUACGGGAGGCAGCAGUGGGGAAUUUUGGACAAUGGGCGCAAGCCUGAUCCAGCAAUGCCGCGUGCAGGAAGAAGGCCUUCGGGUUGUAAACUGCUUUUGUACGGAGCGAAAAGGCUCUCUCUAAUACAGGGGGCUCAUGACGGUACCGUAAGAAUAAGCACCGGCUAACUACGUGCCAGCCGCCGCCGUAACAC
rnacentral:rRNA from 1 species